UUAGUGAGCAUCGAGCUCUCCUGGUGAACGGUUGAAUUUGCGACGCUCUUGUGGAGAAACUCCAUAACCACGUGCGUCACGUGCUGUUUGUAAUUGGUCGUGACUUUUUUCCUCAAUUUGUUUACGGAAGUUGGAAAGUGUCAAUUUGUUCAUGAUUUAUUAUAAAAAAAGAAAUAACCGCGAAUAACCCUAGCUGUUUCAUACAACGCGUAUAAAAUAACAAAAAAAAAAUACACCCGGUGUGUAAUUUUAACUGUUAAGUAAUCGUCACGUGUUAAGUAAACAUAUUUUACUCGAUGAGUUGUUCCCAUAAACCAAACACAUCUCCACGUAUCUCGCUCUGUGACGUUUUGCAAUCUGUACAGACGUCAAAAUAUAUCUAAUAUCUACAACUGAAGAGAUUCGAUAUAAUUGUCGGCAGUUUCCGAUCACGUGAUCCUAUAUUUUGAAAGGAAAGAAACUAAAGGGAAUAUUCAAAUUCCUUUCGAUUUCGUUUGAAAAGAAAAAAUAAAAUUGGCCCUCGAAAACCGCGGUUUUAGAUUCCCGGAUCACACGUGUAAACAUUUUUGAAUAAAGAAUUCAAAAAACAAGAAGAAUAAUAUAAACUGACGAGGAACAAAUCGGAAACCAAGGAACGGAGUACGAUAUGACGAAUAUCAUUUCACGAUUCAUAUAAUAUUCAUUGCAGUUUACGGAGUCGGAAUAAAUUCUUUCUUUUUUUUCCUCUCAAAACGCGUUAUCACGUGCCGCAGUGCUCGAUCGUGAAAGUUAUCAUUUUAUAAACGUGAAAAAAAUAAGUAAAAAAAAAAAAUAUUCGCGCGUACAUUCGUACGAAAAUUUAAACGCGAGUCGCACGGAGAAUAUAAAUACAAUAUUUAUCUACAUAGGUAACUCGAAAAGUAAGUCAAAGUAAAAGAAAAUCAUCGUCAUCUUCUGCUUCUUGUUCUUCUUCUUGCGGUUGGAAAUAGCGUUUCGAAAAUAGUGUCGUUGCUAAAUUCUAAUUCCGACAGUCAACCGUGUAUCUUACAUAAGACGAUAGCGAGGCCGAAAUCAUCCGAACGAGAAGCUGCUGCUGCUGCUGCCGCUACUACUAAAGCGAACUGUAUAUACAUAUGUACGAGAAAUCUUCGUCGCACCUUGAAAAAUUCGACAGCAAAUUUGCCAGAUAUCGAUACUUAUGGUACAAGUGAGCGUGUUUUCGGAAUUAACAGCGUAACACAAAUGAGUGAAGUUCUUUAUAAAAUUAACAACCAAAGUUAUAACAGUAUUUGAGAGAGGAGAAAAAAAAACAAAAAAACAAAACAACACACACACAAAAUCAAAAAAAGAAAGAAAAAAAAAAGAAGCAAUUAACACGAUGUAAAUAAUUAUGUUAAAUUGUUACUUUACAAAAAUGGAGGAACCUUGCGGUAAUAGACGACUACUUCAGCGGCCUCACAAGGCAAAACUCUCCAGCUACGCGACGCCGGUAAGGAUCUAAGCUGUUAGAAACCGCAAGAUAAAACGAGAAGUUGAGGAUUAUCUCGUACCUACAAGUUGGAGGUAAUCCAUAAAGUGAUAUACCAAAAAC
rnacentral:lncRNA from 1 species